UACAGAGGGUGCAAGCGUUAAUCGGAAUUACUGGGCGUAAAGCGUGCGUAGGUGGUUUUUUAAGUCAGAUGUGAAAUCCCAGGGCUCAACCUUGGAACUGCAUUUGAAACUGGAAGGCUAGAGUUUGGGAGAGGGAAGUGGAAUUUCCGGUGUAGCGGUGAAAUGCGUAGAUAUCGGAAGGAACACCAGUGGCGAAGGCGACUUCCUGGACCAAUACUGACACUGAGGUACGACAGCGUGGGGAGCGAACAGG
rnacentral:rRNA from 1 species